GACGAACGCUGGCGGCGUGCUUAACACAUGCAAGUCGAACGGAAAGGCCCCCUUGUGGGGUCCUCGAGUGGCGAACGGGUGAGUAACACGUGAGUAACCUACCCUUGACUUUGGGAUAACUUCAGGAAACUGGGGCUAAUACCGGAUAGGAUCUCCUGCUGCAUGGUGGGGGUUGGAAAGUUUCGGCGGUUGGGGAUGGACUCGCGGCUUAUCAGCUUGUUGGUGGGGUAGUGGCUCACCAAGGCUUUGACGGGUAGCCGGCCUGGGAGGGUGACCGGCCAAAUGGGGACUGGGGAAGGGCCAGGAGUCCGACGGGGGGAAGAAGUGGGGAAUAGUGCAAAAGGGGCGGAGGCAUGAUGCAGCAACGCCGGGGGGGGGAUGGCGGCUUGGGGGUUGUAAACCGGUUGCGCCUGUGACGAAGGGGGAGUGACGUUAAGGGGUAAAGAAGCAACGGCUAACUACGUG
rnacentral:rRNA from 1 species